CACCGCGGUUAUACGAGAGGCCCAAGUUGACAAACAACGGCGUAAAGCGUGGUUAAAGGAACAAUCAAACACUAAAGCCGAACACCCUCAAGGCAGUUAUACGCAUCCGAAGGUUAGAAGCCCAACUACGAAAGUGGCUUUAAUUCCCCUUGAACCCACGAGAGCUACGGCA
rnacentral:rRNA from 1 species